UUUUAUACUAGUCUAACCCUUCAACUGGAUAACCUAACUUAACCCUGGUCGUUGCAACAACUGUGGUUAAAUGCCCUAACUUUGCAGCGCACUCCAUCACAUUGCUUAAGUAGAGCAUUUGACAGGAAACCCUCAACAAACCCUGUGAGGACACAAACCCACUGAUAGGAAGUGCCGUAUGACGGAAAAAAACUCUUGUUCUUUGUCUCAGAACAUUUGAAUCCCUGGUUUGUUUCAUUGAAACACCACGGCCUCUUGUUUUUGGUGGCUUUUUACAAGUGUUGAGUGAUUUUACACGGGUCUCUGAGGGUUUCUUUAUAUAUAUUCUGUUGCCCGAUGCCACGUCCUCGGUAGCUACUUAUUUGCAGUGACCAUGGAUGCUAUGAUUGGGCAAAUAUCAAUUUCUUCACAUUUCUGAUAGGAAACCAAGGGUACAUGGGGUGGGGUGUAUUAAACUUAUUGUUUGGAUAAAGGCUCUAUAGCAAAUUGGAGCUAAAUCAACUCUGUAAUAGACAUGAUUUAGUUAGUAGAUGGAUUGUUUGGAUAAAGGCUCUAUAGCAAAUUGGAGCUAAAUCAACUCUGUAAUAGACAUGAUUUAGUUAGUAGAUGGAUGUUAUUAGAUUCAUUUUAAUUUGGAUAUUAAGAUUGAUUGAUUGUUCAUGUAGAGUAACUCGGAUGGUUUGAAUUCUUGUGGGAAGCUGCAUAAGAGAUUUGACUUAUAUUAGAAGUAGCUGCAGAAGAGAUUUGACUUGUAUUAGAAGUUUAUGUUCCAUGUAUUGGCCAUUCUGCUUAUUGUAGGAAGAGCUUCGAAUAUUGGGAGCUUGGUUGGUUUGAUAAUUUGUAGUCUUUUUUCAGUUUUUUAAAUGUAUUUGGAUAUGUUAAAUAUUUGUCCAUUGAAUUUUGAUGUUGUAGCUUUGUUGCAACUCUAGUGUUUUGGUUCAUGUUUUUCUGUGAUGUAUAUGGAACAGUUCUCAUCUUGAAACUGUUUGCUAAUUUUAUGCAUUCACAUAUCUUAUAUCUUAAAUUGUUUAACGAAUAAAAAGAAUAAUCAAUAAUCAUCAUAUUAAUUAUCAAUAAUAAUUUAAUCAAUAAUUAUUUAAAAAAAAGGUUCAAUGGUGUCUAAUUUGAACUGAUCUGGAUAAUCAUUAUGUUCUAUAUUCAUUCACAUGAUAACUUGUUUUUAUCAAUAAUUAUUUUAAAAAUAAGGUUCAGUGGUGUCUAAUUUGAACUGAUCUGGAUAAUCAUUAUGUUCUAUAUUCAUUCACAUGAUAACUUGUUUUUAUCAAUAAUCAUCAUAUUGAUUAUCAAAAAUAGUUUAAUCAUAAUUAUUUUAAAAAUGAGGUUCAAUGGUGUCUAAUUAGAAGUAAUCUGGAUAAUUAUUAUUUUCUAUUUAAAAAAAAGAAAAUGUCAUUAGUUCACAAAUGCCAUUUGUUCUUUAACAUUCUAUUAUAAUGGAAAAAGAUGGUCAGUUCCAACUGUCAAAAAUAACAAAAGUCAAAUCCACGUAAAUAGAUGAUAACUGCAAAUAUUAAGAAAAAACUUUCAACUUAUUACGCCGAAGGCGGCCCCUCUUAUUUGAGGAAAACAACCUCCGGUUCCAAAUCAACGGUGGAAAGUUAUUUAGAGGUGCUGCAAGACGAUUGCCACCUUUCAUUUUUCAUAAUUUUAAUUCGUCCAAAUGUUUUCGCUGGAUCACAUGCAUGAUCACAUGCAUUGAAUGUGCCAUUAUUAACUAUGUCAUCUCCAGGCAAGUGGCUCAUCUGACUCGUCUGUAUUGCUGAAUCAUCACUCACACAUUCAUUCAAUACAAAUCUCUACUUGUAGCACUAACUACCUACUUAACUUUCAAAGAUAAUUUCUUCUCCACCACUUUACUUUCUAAGAUAAUUUUUUCUCCAGCUGAUAUGAUUCGUGUUGAGCAACUAUGUAUAUGAGGAUCAUACAGUUUUCUCAUUUCAAAAUCUCCUAGCACUAGCCGCACUGAGCAACUAUGUAUAUGAGGAUUAUACAGUUUUCUCAUUUCAAAAUCUCCUAGCACUAGCCGCACUUCCUUAGGUGAAAAUACCCACCAAAACAAGAUACUCCAAUGUAUUAAACCAGUCAAGAUACGCCAGUGUAAUUAUCGUAUAAUUAUCGUAUUCAUGAGAGUUUUCUCCAAAAGCGUUCUUUCUUUAUUUCUUUGGCACUAAAAAAGGGCUGAAUAAGUGACCCACAAUUUCUCCUUGGAAAAGAAUAAAUUGUACAGAUCCUUUGCUGCAAAACUGAUUUUGGGAGUACCAAACUGGCAUGAAUGAUUCCUGCUUGUAUAUCUCUUUCUAGGGCGUUCGAUUAUCCUAAAUUAUAACCAUUUGCAUAAGCAUGCAAUGAUGAGGUAUACGCAUCUGCAUUUGGUUUAUAACCCUUUUUCAUUCAUAUCUUUUAGAACAGCCUCUGCCUCCUUCCAGUGCGCUUUUCUAGAGAUUGCAUUUGAAAUGGUAUUGUAAGUCACAAGAAUGGGAGCGAUUCCUGCUUCCAACAUUGCACUAUAUGUUGCCAAAGCAUGGUUGAUUAAUCCACAACUACCAUAAGCGCUAAUCAACAUAUUAAACAUUAUCAUGGCUGGCUUGGAUAUACUCUUAACUUUCAUCAUUUCCUUGUAAACUCUAUCAUAUUAAACAUUAUCAUGGCUGGCUUGGAUAUACUCUUUUAACUUUCAUCAUUUCCUUGUAAACUCUUAUCAAUAAACUUAUGCCCUCCAUUUCUUGCACAUAGUCAACAAGUUAUUCCAUGUGACUCUCUCAGGGGUAAAUCCAGCAGAUCUCGGUUCACCAAAUGGUAUUCCAUGUGACUCUCUCAGGGGUACAUCCAGCAGAUCUCAGUUCGCUAAGAAAUUGCAUCAUCUCUUUGAAUUUUCCUUUCUUCCAAUACUUACCAAUAAUAGCAUUGAAUGAGCAUAUAUUUGGACUGCAAUCAUGCUUAGUGCUACAUGUUUCUUGAUGAUUUCUUCAAAACAAGAAAAGGCAGUGGAAUGGCACAAGGGUCCCCUCAACCCUUACAAUUUUUAA